UCUUGUAAAUAUUGGAUAUUUGGUUUUGGUCCUUGGUAUUUUGUUUUAAUCCUGGUAAAAUCAUUUCAUAUUGAAAUUGGUCCAUAUAAUAUUCAUUUUAGUCUUCAUUUUGAGGGACUAAAAUCAAAUAUUCUAAAUAUUACAAGGACCAAAUCAAUAUGAAUAAAUUUUACAAGGACUAAAACAAAAUACCAAGGACCAAAACUAAAUUUUAAAAAAAUAUUUUUACAAU
rfam:Medicago truncatula strain A17 chromosome 8, whole genome shotgun sequence.